UUAGAGAACUUGUAAGGGUGGAUGAGGCCGAGAGCGCUAAGUCAGGACAUGAAAAACACUAAAAGAAGCAACAAGAAGUCCUAGCAGUAACAAAAGAAGUCUGUCGCUGGUAACCAGCCUGCUGUCACAAGGUCCCCCAGGGAGGGCUAAGAUGGAAAGGGCAGAGGAGAACACAGCUGUCUCUGCGGAGAGCGGGACCUGCGCUGCAUUUGAGGAGGUGGCUAGAGAGCUGCAGAGCUUCAGCAUCCUUAUAAACACACAUUGCUGUUGAGCGCGUCCAGGUACUGAACACAACGGCUAUGGAGAACUGAGUUCACAGCCUGACCUCAAGUGUGCACUGAAAGCAACCCUCUUUGGCUUUCUUAUCACGAAUCCCUUAAAGAUAAAAAACUUUAGAGAUGUUAUGACGCCUCUUCUGAGAUAUGUAUGGAAUGAGAAACUUGGCUCUCUACACUAUGGAUCAGCAAACAGAAGGAUACUUUGCCCGCAUCAGACGACGCUUACCUUGUCUGAAGUCUGAUUCCGAGGAAAUAACAGAUGGGCUUUCACUGGAAAUACUAAAGAUAUCGCUGUGGGAACCGUAACCAAAUCAUAAACCCAGAGAUGCAAGUUUCAGGACAGAGAAACCAG
ensembl:antisense Gm42620 predicted gene 42620